rnacentral:misc_RNA from 1 species
GAUGAAGAACGUAGCGAAAUGCGAUAAGUAGUGUGAAUUGCAGAAUUCAGUGAAUCAUCGAAUCUUUGAACGCACAUUGCGCCCCUUGGUAUUCCAUGGGGCAUGCCUGUUCGAGCGUCAUUUGUACCCUCAAGCUAAGCUUGGUGUUGGGUGUUUGUCCACUCCCUCGUGUUUGGACUCGCCUUAAAACAAUUGGCAGCCAGUGUUUUGGUAUUGAAGCGCAGCACAAUUUGCGAUUCUAGCCUAGAAUACUAGCAUCCAUCAAGUCAGUUUUAACGCUUGACCUCGGAUCAGGUAGGGAUACCCGCUGAACUUAAGCAUAUCAAUAAGCGGAGGA